UCAUUGCUUGAUUUUUUUUCAACUAUUGCAUAAUUGAGGAUCCUAGAAUUUUCAAUAAGCUAAAUAUUCUCUGACUUCUAAAUGACUGAUCCAUUCUGUAGAAGUGUAAUUACAAGAACAAAUGCAUUUGGUAAAUUCACAGCUCGAUGGAGAUUUGAAUAAUUUUUUUUCAUCACAUGGUUUAAUAAAUGAACAAAACCAUGUUACAAAAUAAUGCACUUAAAACAUAUUUCAACUAUCUUUAAAAAAUUUCCUUUGUAUAUUGCUAAUUUAACGCAGAUGAUGGAAAUUAUUAAAUUCUACAUUUGAGUAAUAACUGUAUGAAAUACACUAUUGAGUUCCGUAAUAACUGAGUCACUAGUACAUUGCUACAAGGUAAAUUACAGACCUCCAAGGUCACAAAUUAAAAGAAGGGGAGAAAAACAACACAAAAGCGCAAUAUGCUAAUAUGUAAAACAAAACAAAAAAACUCCAUGAAACAAAGGGAGUCAUCUUUUUUGAUUAAUGAUACUACCUAAAAUAUUCCACAUGUCCUUCUCCAGUAUCUAUACUGCCACCUGCUAAAUUAUGACAAUAAUUCAUUUUUUUACGCCGUUUUUUCUUUGUCCAAGAAAUGACAUUUCAUCAUUUUCAUAAUGGCAUUUCUCCCCCGAUCACAUCAACAUUAACAUUUUGACAAAAAUGAAAACAAAAGUUUUUUUUUCGGGCAAUGAUAUCAUUGAUUUCUGUUUAGCUAUUAUUUACUUGGUAUUUUGGAGUAGUGCGUGAUUUAUGGGUUUCACAAAUGUACAACUCAGGUCUGAUUAUGAUUUAUUUUUAAAUAAAGUCUACUGAUAAAUGCAUACCAGGGUGCAGCUCUCUUUAACGAAUCAAGAGGCACCCAGAGAUAGUUUAAACCUAGAUCUAUUAAUACAUACACAACUACCUAUGCUCAGGUAAAUGGGGGUAAAUUUGGGGAAUUGAUACGGUAUUACAUUUGUAUAACGGCACUUCCUCUCUCACAAUAGCCGUUUCAUUCAAAACACCGCUGGCCACAAUGGUAUUUAUCACUACUUUACAGAUAAAAUUUAAAAACCCUUUUCAAUGCUAUAUUUACACAACUCCACUGAAAAUUGACAAAAAAUGAGUGCAAUUACCUACUUUUUCUAAUCUUUUAUGUAACAAAGUUCAACUUUUUUUCCUUAGACAAAAUUCCAUUUUUCCCCCCUCUUUUGAGCCUUAGGUCAAUCUUAUCCAAUUAAUAUUUCGGAUCUUGAAGCCUGAAGAGUGCUUGUUUUUGGGAGAAAGAUUUUCUUUGUGAAGAUAGAGUCAUGUAGGCACCGGAUGUACAUACAAUAGAAUUCAGCUCCAGUUUCCUUGGUGAAACUUCCAAACAUGAAGUGAAUGCGUCUGAGACAAAUGCUACUACAUUUUGAUAAAGCAAUAGAUAAUCUUGAAAAGUGUUAAUUUAAAGAACACUGGAGCACCCAUGCAUGCCUUGUAAUACGCUUGGUUGAACACAAAGGUUCUCACAACUUUGGCAUCUUUAAAGAGAAGUGUUCCAUAAGGAGAGUACUCCAGCUAGUAGCCCGAAAGAACAAGCCUAUGCUGCCUUUGUUUUAUUUCUUGAAUCAAUAUAGAGCAGGAAAAAAAAUUUCAUCUAAUUCUUGUAUCUCUUUAAUUUGAUUUUGCGUAACAGUGAAUGACGAAAUUAUUAAAUAUUCAUCAUCAGCAGUGAGCGAAAUGUGAUAAUUCUUGAAAGACGCAGUCGGGAUCUGUUUGCGGAGCAUUGUUUACAUAGUAAUUCUGAAAUCUACGUCACUGAUUAGAAGCGCACUCCAAAGGCAUUAAAUACAAAAGAAUCAAUGCGUCUCAGAUAUAUUUCAUAUAUCCCGAGUUUCAGCAAACACGGAAUCCACUUGAUUUAAAGGAAAAUAAACUCUUGUGUGACCGUUUAUGUACGGAAACGUCUGUACAAUUACAGUAUUAUUUUUCCACAUAAAAGACAAAGUUAAAAUAAGUGGUAUUGAUUAAGCAAGUAAAUGAGUGUCCAAAGCAAAUCAAUUUCAUGUUCGCCAUCUUUUAAUAUAUAUGUAAUUUCAGGUCCCCAGAGGCCACUCGUGUUGCAACAAACAAUCUCUUAUUCAUAAUUGAUUAAUAAAAUCUGCCUAUUCAAUAUGUAUUAUAGGCAGCCAUUAGGGUUUUCAUUUUGUGAAAUGUAAGUGCACUCUUGAUAAUAUAGCGUUGGAUAAUGAAAUUGAAUACAGCGACAUUGUUUCCUUUCAUUGCCGAUUCCUAAUGUUAAAACCGACUUUGAGGGACAAUCAGAUAAAUAAGUCUUACCCAUCUGUCUCUGAAAUUGUAUCCCCCAACCCAAACACCACCAGGGGGAGAGAAAAGCUUAGGGUUUUUUAUCACCCAUCUAAUAUUCCUUUUGUCAAAUUACAUGUGUACUGCAAUGGAAGGGAAAUUGAUUACCAGGAUCCACAACUCAAACAAUUAAUAAAAAUUGGAGAUCAACAACAUAUUGCCGGUUUUAAAUUGUAAAGAUCAUGAUUUCGAAGUAAUUCUUUCUUCUCUUUUUUAAAGGCAGAGAAAAUAUCAAUAUAUAAUAUACAUAUGUUUUAUUAAAUUUAAAACAGCGAAGACAUUUGUCAAUCUGUCAAGAUAAUUUAAAACAACCAAUUCAAGGGCCAUUAUAAAUAUUACUGGUAAACCUAAAUGUUGCUAUAGAGGUAACUUUUCAAAUGAGAAAUUGGCUACAAAGUCAUCUGUUUUAAAAGCAGGGUUUCAAUUAAUCAAAAAGUCUGCCAAAACAUAAUGUCUUUAUCUUUCCUUGAUGCUGUUACUAUUCAAAAAACAAACAGAAAAUACAACCCUACGAUUGCUACUUGACCUCUUCAACUCCCGACCUUUCAUCGAUAAAUCAUUGGAAAUUAUCUCUUAUUUCCUUCAUGCAACCAAAGCAUUAACUGACAAUAUAAAAGAUAAUAAUAAAAUUGUUCAUAUAACUUGUAAAAAAAUUAUU